rnacentral:lncRNA from 9 species
UGAAUGACUGCCCAUGGUGGCCUAGCUGCGCCCAGCAUUCCAGCCCCUGCCGUCCAGCAGCCAGGCGGAGCGUCCUGUGAGUUUGGACUUGACCUGACCAUCUGCUUCUGGAGUUGUCCUUGCGUGAACAUUUACUUUACACCACAAGCAAGAUCGGGCUCGUGCAGGACACGGCUUCUUCAUUGAUGUUUCCUUUAAACUG